rnacentral:rRNA from 1 species
UACGUAGGUGGCAAGCGUUGUUCGGAAUUAUUGGGCGUAAAGGGCGCGUAGGCGGUUUGUUAAGUCAGCUGUGAAAACCCGGGGCUCAACUCCGGGCCUGCAGCCGAUACGGGCAGACUAGAGUUCGGCAGGGGAGACUGGAAUUCCUGGUGUAGCGGUGAAAUGCGCAGAUAUCAGGAGGAACACCGGUGGCGAAGGCGGGUCUCUGGGCCGAUACUGACGCUGAGGAGCGAAAGCGUGGGGAGCGAACAGG